rnacentral:rRNA from 1 species
AGGUUAAGUUAGUAAGGGCGCACGGUGGAUGCCUUGGCACUAGGAGCCGAUGAAGGACGUGACAAACGACGAAAUGCCUCGGGGAGCUGUAAGUAAGCUUCGAUCCGGGGGUGUCCGAAUGGGGGAACCCAACAGGUUGAUGCCUGUUACCCAUUUCUGUUAAGGGAAUGAGGAGGAAGACGCAGUGAACUGAAACAUCUAAGUAGCUGCAGGAAGAGAAAGCAAAAGCGAUUGCCUUAGUAGCGGCGAGCGAAGAGGCAGGAGGGCAAACCGAAGAGUUUACUCUUCGGGGUUGUAGGACUGCAAUGUGGACUCAGAAUUUAUAGAAGAAUGACUUGGGAAAGUCAGCCAAAGAGAGUAAGAGCCUCGUAUUUUAAAUAGAUUCUGUACCUAGCAGUAUCCUGAGUACGGCGGGACACGUGAAAUCCCGUCGGAAUCUGGGAGGACCAUCUCCCAACCCUAAAUACUCCCUAGUGACCGAUAGUGAACCAGUACCGUGAGGGAAAGGUGAAAAGCACCCCGGGAGGGGAGUGAAAUAGAACCUGAAACCGUGUGCCUACAACAAGUUCGAGCCCGUUAAUGGGUGAGAGCGUGCCUUUUGUAGAAUGAACCGGCGAGUUACGUUAUGAUGCGAGGUUAAGUUGAAGAGACGGAGCCGUAGGGAAACCGAGUCUGAAUAGGGCGCUUUAGUAUCAUGAUGUAGACCCGAAACCAUGUGACCUACCCAUGAGCAGGUUGAAGGUGCGGUAAAACGCACUGGAGGACCGAACCAGGGCACGUUGAAAAGUGCUUGGAUGACUUGUGGGUAGCGGAGAAAUUCCAAACGAACUUGGAGAUAGCUGGUUCUCUCCGAAAUAGCUUUAGGGCUAGCGUCGACAUGAAGAUUCUUGGAGGUAGAGCACUGUUUGGGUGAGGGGUCCAUCCCGGAUUACCAAUCUCAGAUAAACUCCGAAUGCCAAUGAAUUAUGGUCGGCAGUCAGACUGCGAGUGCUAAGAUCCGUAGUCGAAAGGGAAACAGCCCAGACCACCAGCUAAGGUCCCAAAAUAAUUGUUAAGUGGAAAAGGAUGUGGGGUUGCACAGACAACUAGGAUGUUAGCUUAGAAGCAGCUAUUCAUUCAAAGGAGUGCGUAAUAGCUCCACUAGUCGAGUGGACCCUGCGCCGAAAAUGUACCGGGGCUAAAACAAUUUACCGAAGCUGUGGAUACCUUUUAAUAGGUAUGGUAGGAGAGCGUUCUAUGUGUGGGAGAAG